rnacentral:rRNA from 1 species
AACGAACGCUGGCGGCAUGCCUAACACAUGCAAGUCGAACGAGAUCUUCGGAUCUAGUGGCGCACGGGUGAGUAACGCGUGGGAACCUACCUUUUAGUACGGGACAACGUUUGGAAACGAACGCUAAUACCGUAUACGCCCUCCGGGGGAAAGGUCAGCCGCUAAAAGAGGGGCCCGCGUCUGAUUAGCUUGUUGGUAAGGUAAUGGCUUACCAAGGCUACGAUCAGUAGCUGGUCUGAGAGGAUGAUCAGCCACACUGGGACUGAGACACGGCCCAGACUCCUACGGGAGGCAGCAGUGGGGAAUAUUGGACAAUGGAGGCAACUCUGAUCCAGCAAUGCCGCGUGUGUGAUGAAGGCCCUAGGGUUGUAAAGCACUUUCAACGGUGAAGAUGAUGACGGUAGCCGUAGAAGAAGCCCCGGCUAACUUCGUGCCAGCAGCCGCGGUAAUACGAAGGGGGCGAGCGUUAUUCGGAAUUAUUGGGCGUAAAGGGCUCGCAGGCUGCUUGAACAGUUAGACGUGAAAUCCCCGGGCUCAACCUGGGAACUGCGUUUAAUACUAGCAAGCUAGAGAAAUAGAGAGGAAAGUGGAAUUCCCAGUGUAGAGGUGAAAUUCGUA